rnacentral:misc_RNA from 1 species
GUUGAUUUGCACCUGGUUACUGGUGAUGCGACACGCAUCAGUGCGAGUAUCUUUCCGAUUCAAGCUUAAAGGCUUCAACCUUCCAGCAGCAAGCCGUGCAACCAAUCUUCGACGGACAAUUAAGCUCGCUCACAAGACAAUCGACUGUCGACAUCCUUCAAUCUCCGGCGACCCUCAGCGCCGGCUGCAACCAUAUUGAUUUUUAAGGAACGACAAUUUGAGUUUGAGGUGAUUUCGAUCAUAAGCUCUUAUAAAUUUCACCAAAUUUAUCGGCAAAUAAGAUUUGGCUUUGAAUUGAUUUGUUCUUUUAUGUUAAUUCUGAGUGAAGUCUUAUCACCAGGUAUUGGAAUGGAAUUGAAUUACUUGGAUUAUAAUUAGAAUUCAGAAGCUUUUCAUUUGGUAAAUAAAUCCCUUUGGAAAUGGUGAAUUUGUGGAAUUGAGUAAUGAUAAGCCAACAUUUCCAAUGAAUGAGCUCGCUGGCUUUUGUAAUUUCUGGUUCAUUUCCCUCUCUAGUAGUUCAUAAUUAACUGUUUGCCAGGCUGGCCUCAGAUGUUGGCUAAUUGGUGUCAUUUGUGAUCAUAAUCGGGUCUAUUUCCUGAAUCCGUUGUUUCUUUGAAAAAUAUUGAUUUGUUUUUGUCAAUAUGUAACUAAGGUUGGUUGGAAUUACAGAAGUUAGAACUGUUUACUUCUCUAGUUAAGAAUAUUGGAACUCUAGUAAGAUUCUUUUAUGUGAAUGUUUAGAACUUCUCAACAAAACAGCUUGCUUUGUUCUUAAUGCUGGUGUAAUUGUAUUGCCAUUCAUGAUAUAAGUUCUUGAAUAUAUAAUGGUUGAGUUCACUAUUACUAAUCGAAGAUAUACUUGCGUACAUGAUUACAAAUGGCCUUCUGAAGAAAUUGGCGUGGACCAUUUUAUAGUUCAGAAGAGCAGUGCACAGGGUUUCUCUGUAUGCCUCUCAGAUUGUGUUCUAUUAGAAAAUUGCCUUUGUCUCCUCCUUGUCAAGGUAUUUAAUUUUUUCAGUUUUCUUAAGUUUCUCAAGUUGGUUUAGCAUUCAUGCUUUUGCUAGGUUCUUUUAGAGUUAUGUGAAACUGAGCUUCAGUGUGCUGCCUUCUGUGGAAAGCCUUUACUCAUGCCUUAGUUCUAUGCUGCAUAGUUCUUUCUACAUUGAAGGAGCCAAUGACUGGCUUUUGUUUAUUUAUUUUCAAAUUAAUUCUGUUCUCAAUAUCUUUUGACUUCCAAAACAAAAGUUUCAUUUGGUUUUAUGCAUUGACAAAUUUCAUGAGUUUGUUCCGGAUCUUGAGUCAUUUGUGUCGUUAACUGACAUAAAGCCAUCAAUUAACAGGAUAUAUCAAUCAAAAUUCUUUUUUGGAGCUUUCUUUUAAGUGCAAUUCUUGUCAAAUUAGUGUUUUGGAAGCCUCUUUUAAAAGGUGAGAAUUAGUGAAAUUGAGUUCUUAAUAAUAGGAGGCAUUACUUUAUCUUAACAUUAGAAGGUACAAAUCAAUAGUGCGUUGAAUGUGUCCUUUCAAUUUGGGAAAUCGUGUUUUCACCCUUAUUUUUAUUAGAAUGACUCAGAAUCUGUUGUGUUAAUGCCAGCUUUUGCAAUCCAACUUGAAACGCACUAUAUAAGGUAUCGUUUUUUUCUCCUCUAUUCCCCAUUACACAUUCAACCAAAGAAUGUACAUGCAUAUGAAUUGGAUCUAUGUAUGUACAACUUUAUUAAGUAAUUUAUAUAUUAUUAAUUGUAUUUAUGGUAUCAUUCAGCAACUUACAUGAGAGGUUUGGUUGUAUGACAUAUUUGGCUCUUAAAUAAUAGACCUAAUUUCAGAAGCUUAAGAUUGAUGAUUAAUCUGGAAUGGAUAAGAGAUUAUGGAGAGGAGUACAAGUCUUUAAUUUGGCAUUAUAAUGGAUUUCAAGUUGGAUAAAAUCUAAGGAAUCAAGCUCAAGGGUUCUUCAUUGUUUAAAUAUCUCAAUCAUUUCUUUCUCCUUUAAUCGAUGGUAUUUCACUUAGGCCAGGCAGUUUAUGCCCAUUUCCUCCAUCCGCUCUUGACUAUCACUGGAGCCUGUCUCUUAUUUAGCAUGGGGUAGCAGAUAUAAUAUUGGUUUUCAAGGUAUGCAAGUUUUGCAUAAAAAUAAGCUAAUGUUGCCCGUUUGAAAAGAUGAAAAUGCAUAUUUUGGGGCCAAGUUACAAAACAGUUACAUUUUUAAAACAAGAUAAUUUAUAGAUUUUAAGAAUGAUGUAGGGAUUUAUUGAUGGUCAAGGGUUUUCAUCUACUUUUUUCCUUAAUUAAAACAUAAAUUUCAUAUCCAGGAAUUACGUCCACCUAUGAAGGUGUAAUUCCCUCUCUGGAAGGCUUUGUGUAUUGCCUGUGGCAGUGAAGAAAGCUCAGACACCUCUACAAAAGAGGGCUAACAGCAUUAAAGGAUUCAAGAUGAAAGGAAGUGAUGAUGUUUAUUUGAUUCUCUACACAACACAGUUUAAUCUUUCCAUGUCGAUUCCAUUAAUCAAUUAUUGACAUUUUUCAUUCGCCAUAGUUCAUGGUAGCCAUUUUUUCAUUGGACUUCUCUUAGCCAGAGCUCCAAAAGCGGUAGAUUAGUACUUGGCUUGAUUGAGCAACUGCA